CAGCAGCCGCGGGAAUACGUAGGGUGCAAGCGUUAAUCGGAAUUACUGGGCGUAAAGCGUGCGCAGGCGGUCCGUUAAGACAGAUGUGAAAUCCCCGGGCUCAACCUGGGACCUGCAUUUGUGACUGUAUAGCUAGAGUACGGUAGAGGGGGAUGGAAUUCCGCGUGUAGCAGUGAAAUGCGUAGAUAUGCGGAGGAACACCGAUGGCGAAGGCAAUCCCCUGGACCUGUACUGACGCUCAUGCACGAAAGCGUGGGGAGCAAACAGGAUUAGAUACCCCCGUAGUCCCUGUCUCUUAUAC
rnacentral:rRNA from 1 species